rnacentral:miRNA from 1 species
ACACACUUACCCGUAGAGAUUCUA